UGCAUCGGCCUGGAAUCGAACCCGAGGCGCCCCGCGUGGCACGCGAGCAUUCUAUAACUGAAACACCGAUGC